AUUGCCUCUUGGCCUUUUGGCUAAGAUCAAGUGUAAUAUCUCUUCUUAUCAAUUUAAUUUUAUAUUGAUUUAGAGAAAUCAUUUAUGUUGAGCUUUAUGUUUCUAUGUAGCUCAAUAAUAACCCUCU
rnacentral:snRNA from 1 species